CUGGAUUGUUGGGCAAGAAUGCCUGCGGAUCUGGUUAUGAUUUUGAUGUGCAUAUCCACUAUGGUGCUGGUGCUUAUAUUUGUGGUGAAGAGACAGCUCUUUUGGAAAGCCUUGAAGGUAAACAGGGGAAACCAAGAUUGAAGCCUCCUUUCCCUGCUAAUGCAGGUUUAUAUGGUUGUCCCACCACUGUCACCAAUGUGGAAACUGUGGCCGUUUCUCCCACCAUUUUAAGGCGUGGACCGGACUGGUUUGCCAGUUUUGGCAGGAAGAACAAUUCUGGUACAAAAUUGUUUUGUGUGUCGGGCCAUGUGAAUAAGCCUUGCACAGUUGAAG
rnacentral:lncRNA from 1 species